UACGGAGGAUGCAAGCGUUAUCCGGAAUCAUUGGGUUUAAAGGGUCCGUAGGCGGACCAAUAAGUCAGGGGUGAAAGUCUGCGGCUCAACCGUAGAAUUGCCUUUGAUACUGUUGGUCUUGAAUGUGUAGGAAGUGGCUGGAAUGAGUAGUGUAGCGGUGAAAUGCAUAGAUAUUACUCAGAACACCAAUUGCGAAGGCAGGUCACUACUACACCAUUGACGCUGAUGGACGAAAGCGUGGGGAGCGAACAGG
rnacentral:rRNA from 1 species